GACGAACGCUGGCGGCGUGCCUAAUACAUGCAAGUCGAGCGCAGGAAACUGACGGAACUCUUCGGAGGGAAGGCAGUGGAAUGAGCGGCGGACGGGUGAGUAACACGUAAGGAACCUGCCUCAAGGAUUGGGAUAACACCGAGAAUCGGAGCUAAUACCGGAUAGUUCAUCGGACCGCAUGGUCCGUUGAUGAAAGGCGCUCCGGCGUCACCUUGAGAUGGCCUUGCGAUGCAUUAGCUAGUUGGUGGGGUAACGGCCCACCAAGGCGACGAUGCAUAGCCGACCUGAGAGGGUGAUCGGCCACACUGGGACUGAGACACGGCCCAGACUCCUACGGGAGGCAGCAGUAGGGAAUCUUCCACAAUGGACGAAAGUCUGAUGGAGCAACGCCGCGUGAGUGAUGAAGGUUUUCGGAUCGUAAAACUCUGUUGUAAGGGAAGAACACGUACGAGAGGGAAUGCUCGUACCUUGACGGUACCUUACGAGAAAGCCACGGCUAACUACGUGCCAGCCGCCGCGGUAA
rnacentral:rRNA from 1 species